CUUCAGGUGGUUAUAGCACGAGGGUUCCACCUCUUCCCAUUCCGAACAGAGAAGUUAAGCCUCGUCACGCCGAUGGUACUGCGUAACAGUGGGAGAGUAGGUAGCCGCCGUUUUUU
rnacentral:rRNA from 1 species